UUAAUUAUUAAAAAAUAUAUUUAAUAAAAUUUUUAUAUUAAUUAUUAGAAUAAUUAAAAAGAUAUUAAUUUAAAAAAAAAAAUAAAAAAUUGAGAGAAAUUAACUGUUAUACAGCACUAAAAAAUUAAUAAAUAUUCUUUUUUUUAAUAUUAAAUUCGAAAUAUAAUAAUUAAUAAUUUAUAUGUUUAUUGGAUAUGACAUUUAGACAUAGGUGACGCCGCUACAAUGACGACGAUCCGUUAGCGGCAUUGACUAUGGGACCAGAGGCAUGGGCGUGUGUGCGGACCCUGGGUCUUACCGGUGGUGUCAGGCAUUAAGCCGGUCGCGAUCGUUCGCCACAAGAACAAUAUUUUCAAAAAGUUGUUAUAAUAUUAAUAAUAGUUGUAAUAAUAAUAAAAAUAAUAAUAGUAAUAAUUAUAACAAUAAUAAUAUAAAUAAUAGAAUUAAUAAUAAUAAUAAUAAUAGUAUAAAUAUAAAUAAUAGUAAUAAUAAAAAAGAAAAAAUUAAAUCAAAUAAUACAACAACAAUUGUAGAUAAAUCACAUACAAUAGAUUAUAAAGCACAUCCAUCAAUAUAUAAUAAUAAGGAUAAUAGUUUAUUGAAUUCAAUUCGCUCUUUAGGAAUAUUAGUAGCUUUUUUAAUCCUGAUAGACAGUACUUUAGGAAAUAUUCAGCCAGCAGAAGAUGCUGUACACAUUACAGCAAUACUCGGUGAAAGUGUUAUAUUCAAUUGUCACGUCGAAUUUCCAAACGAUCAUCCAGUUCCAUACGUCCUUCAGUGGGACAAGAAGGUGAGCGAAACGGGAUCAGAUUUACCGAUAUAUAUUUGGUACGAAAAUUAUCCAACACAUAGCGGAGAAGGUUACGAAGGUCGUGUAUCACGUGUAUCACCCGAUUCACCAUUCGGUGCUGCAUCAUUAAAUUUAACAAAUAUACGUGAAAAAGAUCAAGGCUGGUACGAAUGUAAAGUAGUUUUCUUAAAUCGUGAUCCAAAAGCAAAUAAGAACGGCACAUGGUUCCAUUUAGAUGUACAUGCACCACCACGUUUUAGUGUUACACCAGAAGAUAUUAUAUACGUUAAUUUAGGCGAUUCAAUUAUUCUAAAUUGCCAAGCAGAUGGCACACCAACACCAGAGAUUUUAUGGUACAAAGAUGCUAAUCCAGUCGAUCCAUCAUCUACUGUUGGUAUCUUUAAUGAUGGUACCGAGUUACGGAUAUCCACAAUCAGGCACGAGGACAUCGGAGAAUACACGUGCAUUGCUCGCAAUGGUGAGGGACAAGUCUCCCAUACGGCCCGUGUUAUAAUAGCGGGCGGCGCUGUAAUCAUGGUGCCGCCCACCAAUCAAACAAAACUAGAGGGGGAGAAGGCGACAUUCCAAUGUGAAGCAAAAGCGAUGCCAGGGAAUGUCACCGUCCGAUGGUUUCGUGAAGGUUCACCCGUUCGUGAAGUAGCGUCAUUAGAAACACGAGUCACUAUACGUAAAGAUGGCUCAUUAAUUAUAAAUCCAGUUAGUGCUGAUGAUUCCGGUCAAUAUUUGUGUGAAGUAUCAAAUGGUAUUGGUGAUCCUCAAAGUGCAUCAGCUUAUUUAAAUGUUGAAUAUCCCGCAAAAGUGACCUUCACACCAACCGUACAAUAUUUACCAUUUCGUUUAGCCGGAAUUGUACAAUGUUAUAUUAAAUCAAAUCCACCAUUACAAUAUGUUACAUGGACCAAAGAUAAACGUUUGCUAGAAGUAUAUCAAACUAAGGAUAUUGUUAUUAUGAAUAACGGUUCAUUAUUAUUUACACGUGUUAAUGAAAAUCAUCAAGGCCGUUAUACAUGUACACCAUAUAAUGCACAAGGUACACAAGGUUCAUCGGGUCCAAUGGAAGUUUUAGUACGUAAACCGCCAGUAUUUACAAUUGAACCGGAAACGCUGUAUCAGCGAAAAGUUGGUGAAACAGUUGAAAUGAAUUGUGAUGCACAAGAGGGUGAAGGUACACAACGACCAAAUAUACAAUGGCAACGUCAAGAGGGUGUUCCAUUACAAAAGAAUCGUGUUAAAAUAAAUGGUGGUAAUAUUACAAUUGAAAAUUUAAGACGUGAAGAUUUUGGUUAUUAUCAAUGUGUUGUAUCAAAUGAAGUAGCAACAAUUGUAUCAGCAACACAAUUAGUUAUUGAAGGUACACAACCACAUGCACCAUAUAAUAUAUCUGGUAAAGCAACGGAUACAUCAAUAACAUUACAAUGGAUGCCAGGUUAUAGUGGUGGACAAGAUUAUAAACAAGAUUAUACAAUAUGGUAUCGUGAAGCUGGUAUAUCUGAUUGGUUAACAAUACCAGUAACACCAUCAGGUAGUACACAAACAACAAUACAUAAUUUAGCACCAGGUACAACAUAUGAAUUUCAAGUUGUUGGUAGAAAUGCUCUUGGUGAUGGUAUGAUGAGUAAAAUAGUUACAGUUAGAACUCUGGCAGCAAUGGCUCCUAGUCAAGAAAAAACUACUUCCGCGCCUGCUACGAAAACAACUAAAGAAUCUGACCUUGAUCCAGGCCCAGAUGGACCAAAACCUGGCCCACCAAGAAAUCUAACUGUUACAGAAAUAUCAAAUGGAUUUUUAAUAACAUGGCAAUCACCAUUAGAACGUGCACAUAUGGUUAAACAUUAUACAAUUAAAUAUCGUACAGAUGCUGCAUGGAAAACAUUAAAUCGUGGAUAUAUACGUCCAGAAGAGACACAAUAUUUAGUUAAAAAUUUAGUUGGUGGUCGGACAUACUAUUUUCGUGUAUUAGCUAAUACGGAUAAAACAUAUGCUAUAAGCGAUGAAGUUAAAUUUCCAGUUCCGGCACGUGUUAAACAUAAAGCAAUAACAGCCGGUGUUGUUGGGGGAUUUUUAUUUUUUAUAGUUGCAAUUAUAUUAUCUGUUUGUGCUGUAAAAAUAUGCAAUAAAAGAAAAAGACGAAAACAGGAAAAAGAAAUAAUUCGAUUACAGAGUUCAACAUGGUAGCUUGUAGGAUAACGGAUGCCCGUAAUGCUGCUAGUCGUACGGGCUCUGCUUCCAGUAGUCAAGUGCCUUUGAAAAAGAGUAAUUCUGAACAUUUUAAAGAUUAUGAAACCGUUUU